UUUGUUUGGAGAGUUUGAUCCUGGCUCAGGACGAACGCUGGCGGCGUGCUUAACACAUGCAAGUCGAACGGAAAGGUCUCUUCGGAGAUACUCGAGUGGCGAACGGGUGAGUAACACGUGGGUGAUCUGCCCUGCACUUCGGGAUAAGCCUGGGAAACUGGGUCUAAUACCGGAUAGGACCACGGGAUGCAUGUCUUGUGGUGGAAAGCGCUUUAGCGGUGUGGGAUGAGCCCGCGGCCUAUCAGCUUGUUGGUGGGGUGACGGCCUACCAAGGCGACGACGGGUAGCCGGCCUGAGAGGGUGUCCGGCCACACUGGGACUGAGAUACGGCCCAGACUCCUACGGGAGGCAGCAGUGGGGAAUAUUGCACAAUGGGCGCAAGCCUGAUGCAGCGACGCCGCGUGGGGGAUGACGGCCUUCGGGUUGUAAACCUCUUUCACCAUCGACGAAGGUCCGGGUUCUCUCGGAUUGACGGUAGGUGGAGAAGAAGCACCGGCCAACUACGUGCCAGCAGCCGCGGUAAUACGUAGGGUGCGAGCGUUGUCCGGAAUUACUGGGCGUAAAGAGCUCGUAGGUGGUUUGUCGCGUUGUUCGUGAAAUCUCACGGCUUAACUGUGAGCGUGCGGGCGAUACGGGCAGACUAGAGUACUGCAGGGGAGACUGGAAUUCCUGGUGUAGCGGUGGAAUGCGCAGAUAUCAGGAGGAACACCGGUGGCGAAGGCGGGUCUCUGGGCAGUAACUGACGCUGAGGAGCGAAAGCGUGGGGAGCGAACAGGAUUAGAUACCCUGGUAGUCCACGCCGUAAACGGUGGGUACUAGGUGUGGGUUUCCUUCCUUGGGAUCCGUGCCGUAGCUAACGCAUUAAGUACCCCGCCUGGGGAGUACGGCCGCAAGGCUAAAACUCGAAGGAAUUGACGGGGGCCCGCACAAGCGGCGGAGCAUGUGGAUUAAUUCGAUGCAACGCGAAGAACCUUACCUGGGUUUGACAUGCA
rnacentral:rRNA from 1 species